GGAGAGAUAGUAUAAAGGAAAGAAUGUGAGCCUGUCAAGCUCAAGAUCCGGAGUUCGAGUCCCGGUCUCUCCA